GAUGAACGCUGGCGGCGUGCCUAAUACAUGCAAGUCGAGCGAACAGACGAGGAGCUUGCUCCUCUGACGUUAGCGGCGGACGGGUGAGUAACACGUGGAUAACCUACCUAUAAGACUGGGAUAACUUCGGGAAACCGGAGCUAAUACCGGAUAAUAUAUUGAACCGCAUGGUUCAAUAGUGAAAGACGGUUUUGCUGUCACUUAUAGAUGGAUCCGCGCCGCAUUAGCUAGUUGGUAAGGUAACGGCUUACCAAGGCAACAAUGCGUAGCCGACCUGAGAGGGUGAUCGGCCACACUGGAACUGAGACACGGUCCAGACUCCUACGGGAGGCAGCAGUAGGGAAGCUUCCGCAAUGGGCGAAAGCCUGACGGAGCAACGCCGCGUGAGUGAUGAAGGUCUUCGGAUCGUAAAACUCUGUUAUUAGGGAAGAACAAAUGUGUAAGUAACUAUGCACGUCUUGACGGUACCUAAUCAGAAAGCCACGGCUAACUACGUG
rnacentral:rRNA from 1 species